rnacentral:piRNA from 1 species
UUCAAAGAACUGUGUGGUUUAGGUGUAC